GGUGAAUGUGCCCAGGACGGCUGGGAUGAGGCCAGUGUGGGCCUGGGCUUGAUCUCCAUUCUCUGCUUUGCUGCGUCUACCUUCCCGUGGUUAAAAAGAAACUGGAACAGUAAAUGGCAGUAUGUAUAAUGGUUAAGAGCAAGACCGGAGGCUCAGGUAGGGGUUGAAUCCGAGCCGUAUGGCACAGCUUCCUCCAGGCCCAGUGAGGAGGUCAUCGUGGUAGACUGGACAGCACAGGUGUCUUGAGGACAGAAUGAGUCAACACACAUACAGAGGGCUCAGAACUGCCCUGGGCCUCAGUGCCACCACCAGCUUUGGCUUCAAACCCGCACCUGACCAGAAGUCCUAAGAGGGUCCCAGCACCGGGGACCUUUGGGAAAACAGCCAGGGGACCAAAAGCCUACCAUCUUGAUAGUGGAGCCCCAGGCACCUCAGCCCCGCCCUUCUCUGUUGCCCUCUAAAGAGAACCAGGCCGGGGUUCUGCCUGUCUUGCCUGCAGCUGCUCCUGGAGACCCGGCGUGCCCAGGCCUUCGGUCCCUGUGUCCCUUCCCCAGCACCGUUCUUGUUGCGGUGCCCCUCCCUGCAUCCAUAGGAGAAAGGAUCCAGGGUUCUAUGCAGCGGUUCUCAGGGCCCAACACAAAACUUCAGGACCCUACAUAAGCCCCAGAUCCCCACUGGAGACCCCAGGGUGUGGUGGAGGAGAAUCUGAGUAAGGCUGGGGCUUUCCCUGGAGAGAGGCAUAGCCGUAGAGCCCUUGGCUUAGCAGGGAUUCCCCGGGAGACUCCUCCAAAGAGCCGAGAAGGCUCCUGAGGAUCCUGCCCAUGGGGAAGGUGGGCCCCCAGGCCAUCUCCUCUCCAUUACCGCCUCACUCCCCUGUGGUCAUCUCUGGGCGGUGUCCCCUGUAAGGCGGCAUUCCCUGUAAGGUGGCCCGAACAUGCGUCCCCUCCUCUUCCUCUUCCACAGCCAGUUCAUCAAAGCCUACAAGACGGGCAACAUGGACCAGGCACUGUCCCUGUGGUUCCUCCUGGGCUGGAUCGGCGGAGACUCCUACAACCUCAUCGGCUCCUUCCUUGCUGACCAGCUGCCCCUGCAGUCCUACACAGCUGUGUAUUACGUCAUGGCAGACCUGGUGAUGCUGACGCUGUACUUUUACUACAAGUUCAGGAAACGCCCCUCUCCCUGGGCCCGUUCAGCAGGCACAGCUCCAGCUCCUCCUCUGUGUCCAGCCCUGGGCUUGGAGCUGGGGAAACGAGGACAAGUCACACAGGCUGCCUCUGCCCCGGCCUUCAGGAGGAGCAGGAGACAAGUGUCUGCCCCCAUCAACUCCAUGCUGCUAUUCCUCAUGGGGACGGCGUGCGCCACACCGCUGCUGAGCGCUGCUGGGCCCGUGGCUGCCCCGAGGGAAGGCUUCCGGGGACGGGCGCUCCUGUCCGUGGAGCCGGGCAGCAAGCCCUUCACCCGGCAGGAAAUCAUCGGCUUCGUCAUCGGCUCCGUCUCCAGUGUGUUGUACCUGCUCUCCCGGCUGCCUCAGAUCCGCACCAACGCGCGAUGUGGCCUGCCAGCCAGGCUGCAGGAGACCCAUGUGUGUCUUGGAGGAGUAGGAGUUCAGGGGAAGUUCCUCCGGAAGUCCACCCAGGGGAUCUCCUACUCGCUGUUUGCACUGGUGAUGCUGGGGAACACGCUGUAUGGGCUGAGCGUGCUGCUCAAAAACCCCGAGGAGGGCCAGAGCGAGGGCAGCUACCUGCUGCACCACCUGCCCUGGCUUGUAGGCAGCCUGGGCGUGCUGCUGCUCGACACCAUCAUCUCCAUCCAGUUCCUGGUGUACAGGCGCAGCGCCGCCGCCUCGGAGCUUGAGCCCCUCCUCCUCCCCAGCUGACCGAGGCCGGCUGAGCGCAGGAGGACGGGGACCACCGGAAGCCACACCAGGCAGGGGGAGGUGUGGGCAGUGAUGGUGCUGCAGCUCUGCAUCAGUGUGUGGGCGGCCUCUGGAUCCCCCAUGGACCGAACCGUCCCCUCUGGGAACACACCUUCAGGUAGACCCUGAAGCCUCGAGGCCGGGACUGGAGCGGAGACCCCACCUCUCAGGAGACAGGCUGCCCCUCCUACCACCUACCUCAUUCUGCCUACUCACCCCAGGGGCCACAGCUGCAGCCUGCGGGACUCAGGACUGUCCUGUCAACCCCAGACAACCGAGUAAACAGGCCGGGUGUGGUGGCUCACACCUGUCAUCCCAGAACUUUGGGAGGCGGAAGCGGGUGGAUCACUUGACGUCCGGAGUUCGAGACCAGCCUGGCCAACAUGGUGAAACCCCGUCUCUACCAAAAAUACAAAAAUUAGCCAGGUGUGGUGGCACCUGGGAGUGCCAGCUUCUUGGGAGGCUGAGGCAGGAGAAUUGUUUGAACCCGGGAGACAGGGGUUGCAGUGAGCUGAGAUCGUGUCACUGCACUCCAGCCUGGGUGACAGAGUGAGACACCAUCUCAAAAAAAUAAAAAAGACAACCGAGGAAACGGUACCUCCCCGCGAGACCUGCUUCUGUUGCUCCUUCCCCAAGGUGCUGAGGGAUCGGGGCUGCUUUGGGGACCAGUGGUGGAUGUGGAUGGGGAUCCAGGAUGAGCCAAGCAGAGGGGAGCACAUCUGUCUGUAGCCCUGGCCCAGCCUCCUGGGGCCUCUGGUUUCUUUAGCCUGCUUGUCUGUGCCCUCUUCUGACAGGCUCCACACCUCACUGUGGGGACGCAGCAGGGAGAGAGACUCCCCACGGGGAGCCUGCCCCUCGGUGCGCAGGAAGCAGCAGAGUGGUGAAGUUUCUGUCGGAUCUGGGUUGUGCGUUGCAGCUCCUCGGUGCCUAGCUUAUCUCAUCUGUGAAAUGGACAGUACUACCACUUCCUAUGUCCCUUCAAGGAUUACAUAAGAUGCUGACAUUAUGCAGCUUAGCCCCAAACGUGGCGCAUAGUAAGGGCUCAAUAAAGGUUAGUUUUGAGGACUUUUAGUUGGAGAAGAGGAGCAACCAGAUCUCCUUGGAGAUCAGGGAGAGCCUCCUGGAGAAGGUGACAGGUCAGAAGGAUGAGCGGGAGAUAUCAAAGGGAAAGAUAGGAUUGAAGGCAGGAGGAAGAAGUGGCGGGUACAGAAGCAAGGUGGGAGGGUGGAGAGGAAGGCAGGGCUGAGCCCUGAGUGCUUCCUGGACCCCCAAACUCAGUGUUUUCCAGACCCUGUUUUUUUAUUUUUAAAUUUUUUUUAGCCCAGGCUGGAGUACAGUGGUGCGAUCAUAGCUCACUGCAGCCUCGAACUCCUGGGUUCCAGGAAUCCUCCCGCUCAGCCUCCCAAGGAGCUGGGACUACAGAUGCUCACCACCACGCCUGGCUCCAGACCCUGUCUGAUUCCACUUUGCUGGGGGUCAUGACCCUCAGGUACUUGGAGCACAGAGGCGCCAGCUACCCACCUUGCCGGCCUGAUCUCACCCCACACACCCAACCCUAGCUCUGGAAAACCAGAACUAGGGACUUGGGGCAUCCGGUGGGGUAGUCUUGGGGAGAGAAGCUGUGUCUCCAGAGUGAGCCUUGCCUUUAGAAUCUCGCUUCCCAGCCCCGGAGAAGGGAGAUAGCGCCGCGCCAUUCUGGCGCUGCAGAUGCUUGGUGAGUGCAGCCCUCCGCUCGGCCUUUGCCAUGUCAGACACCCGGGCUGUGGUGAACCAGCUCCAAGACCCUGCCUUCCAGGAGAAGAGACGGUUACCAUGACCAGAGGGCAGAAAGGCCAGGAAAUGAGCAGAUGAGACCAGCCCCAGGAGGGUCAAUCAGGGAAGGCUUCUCAGAGGAGUGGCCUUUGAGCUGGAUCUUGAAGGCAGAGGGGAGGGCAACUCAGGAAAAGGGAGGGGCAGGUACAGAGGCCUGGAGUUGGGUGUCUGGGCUGCUUCCAAGGCGGGGCUGCUUCCAAGGAGCCUGAAAAGCCGCACCAAUGCCAAGGACAAGGUCCUGGAGCACACCCAGCAGCAGCCCAGCAGCAGGGGAUGGGGUUUGGUCGGGGAAGAGCCUUUUGCUGGAGAGAGGAGGCGAGGCACACCUCUGAGACCCAGGUGAGCAGAGAGGGCCAGUCUCCCCUGCCCCAUCCUCCUAGGGUCACCCACGGAGCCCGGGAUGCCAUCUGGCCUGCAGCUGUCAGUUGCACACUUGCUAUAUGCGGGCUGCGUCGCCUGCCGUCAGUGCGCGAGAUCUCCCGUCUUCACAGCCAGCUCUGAGAUGGGGGAGUUUUUAUUUUUAUUAUUUUUUUGUUGUUGUUUUAUUUUUUUUGAGACAGAGUCUUGCUCUGUUGCCCAGGCUGGAGUGCAAUGGUGCGAUCUCAGCUCACUGCAACCUCCACCUCCUGGGUCCAAGCGAUUCUCCUGCCUCAGCCUCCUGAGUAGCUAGGAUUACAGGUGCCCGCCAACACACCCAGCUAAUUUUUGUAUUUUUAGUAGAGAUGUGGUUUCGCCAUGUUGGCCAGGCUGGUCUCGAACUCCUGACCUCAGGUGAUCUGCCCGCCUCAGCCUCCCAAAGUGCUGGGAUUACAGGUGUGCCACCACGCCCAGCCAAGAUGGGAGUAUUCUUAUGGCCAUUUUACAAAUGGGAAAACAGGCUCAGUGCAAUUGAGCAACUUGCCCAGCUAGGAGCAGCAGCAACACGAGGCCCUCCAGCUGCGGGGGCCACCCCAUGCCUGGCCAACAUUGGCGACCCGUGUCCCCUUCCUCCGUGCUGGGGGCCCAGGGCUUGUGGCAGUCCAGCCUCACCCUCAGGAGUGGCCCGAACCCUGCUGGGCCCAGGCUCCCUUCUCACCAUCCUGAAUAGUGACUUUCCUGAGCCUCUGGCCCUGCUGAGAUUUCAGGAUAAGUUACCCCCAGGUCCCCAGCCCCCGCUUGCCCUGGCCUGUGCCUGCCACAGGUGCCAGCCUCAGGUGCCAGCCAGAUGCCUUGUUCCACCUGGGUCUGGGACCUGGCUCCACCCCAGUUACCUGGGACCAGUAGGUGCCCCUUCAGCCUGAAGAUCUGGGGGCACCAUAUGGCCACAUGAGUGCCAUGUGUGGGCCUGAACUGGUGCUGGGUGGGGAAGAGUGAGACGGGAUAACACAGCCCCUGUGUGGAGGCCCUUGUCUGAUGGGCUGAUGUAAUCCCUUCCUCCUGGGAAACACCAGCUUUUGGGGUGAUAGCACUUUCGGGCAGGAGCUAUGGUUCCUUCCUCCCCCUGGGGAGUGCCCUGUGUGAUGGAGGCAAUACAGCCCCUACCCUCAGAGGGCAGCUGGCCUGCAGCUCAUCCAAACCUGAGUCUCCUCUCCCUUGGAGGCCUCAUUCCGGUGCCCCAAGUAGGAUUCAAACUGCUGGGGCUGGAAGAACUUGGUGGCCUGGGUGCCUGGAGCCCUGUUGAAGGAGCUGGUGACAUCCAGAUGCUGGAGGCAGGUGGCAGGGAGCACAGACUUUGUGUCCUGCACACUGAGCUCCGAGUGUGCCCCAGCCACCGUGAGCCUUGUGACUUGAGCAGACAUCUGAAGCCGUUUCUUCAUCCCAUGAGACCAAUAACACCGCCUGCCUCAGAACAGAGCCGUGAUCAAGAUGAGCACGGAGGCUCGUGUCCCGGCACCUGGCACACAGAUUGUACGGCUGAUGAAGGCGACAGCGCAAGGAGCAGCUGGUUUCCUGAAGGGAAAUGCCCUGAGAGGAGAGCGGGCCUGAGCCUCGGGGGGUCACUCUCAGGGCGGCGGGGCCGGGGACCGGACACUUCCUUGCUGCUGUGAGCAGGGCCCACACACGUCCCCGCUUGGAGCCAGCGCGCAGCCACGGCCACACGCGCUUGGAAAGUGAGGCCGGCGAGAAGGAACACAGAAGGCCAGCGCUAACUGCGUCCCAGUUUCUUUUUUAUUAAUUUUUUUCUUUUUUUUUUUUUUUUUAAGUAUGGAGGCUCAAGUAUAAGAUGUAGAUUUUUUUUCUUAAGCUUUACAAAAAAACAAAAUAAAACAAAAACCUCCUUUUGCAUUCCAUAGAAAUU